rnacentral:rRNA from 1 species
UACGUAGGGAGCAAGCGUUGUCCGGAAUCAUUGGGCGUAAAGCGCGCGUAGGUGGCCUCAUAAGUCCGCUGUGAAAGUCAAAGGCUCAACCUUUGAAAGCCGGUGGAUACUGUGAGGCUAGAGUACGGAAGAGGCGAGUGGAAUUCCUGGUGUAGCGGUGGAAUGCGCAGGUAUCAGGAGGAACACCAAUAGCGAAGGCAGCUCGCUGGGACGUUACUGACACUGAGGCGCGAAAGCGUGGGGAGCGAACAGG